CCUCACCGGCGGGGCCCUCACCGGCCGCCCUCGAUCCCCCUGCCGACCUCCUCCUGCUCCUCCUCUCCCUCUCCUUCCUCUCCCCCUUUUCCCCCUCCGGCGCCUUUAGCCGUUGCUUCCUGCGCCGCGCCUCGCUUGUGGGCGCGCAGGCGCACACCCAAAAUGGCGAGCAAGGAAGUGCUGGAGGACACGGUGGAGGAGCGCGUCAUUAGCGAGGAGUACAAGAUCUGGAAGAAAAACACCCCCUUCUUGUACGACCUGGUGAUGACACACGCUCUGGAGUGGCCCAGCCUCACCGUGCAGUGGUUGCCUGAUGUGACCAGGCCGGAAGGAAAGGAUUAUGCUCUACACUGGCUGGUUUUGGGAACGCACACGUCUGAUGAACAGAACCACCUGGUUGUUGCAAGAGUCCAGAUUCCCAAUGAUGAUCAGUUUGAUGCUUCUCAAUAUGACAGUGAGAAAGGAGAGUUUGGUGGCUUUGGAUCUGUGACUGGCAAAAUUGAAACGGAGAUUAAAAUUAACCAUGAAGGUGAAGUAAACCGUGCUCGUUACAUGCCGCAGAAUCCCUGCAUCAUUGCUACAAAAACACCGUCGGCUGAUGUGUUGGUAUUUGACUACACUAAACAUCCUUCAAAACCAGACCCAAGUGGAGAGUGUAAUCCUGACCUUAGAUUAAGAGGGCACCAGAAAGAAGGCUAUGGCUUAUCAUGGAACUCAAAUUUGAGUGGACAUCUUCUCAGUGCAUCAGAUGAUCAUACUGUGUGUUUAUGGGAUGUAAGUGCUGGACCAAAAGAAGGCAAAAUUGUUGAUGCGAAAGCAAUCUUUACUGGGCAUUCUGCAGUAGUAGAAGAUGUGGCAUGGCAUCUGCUUCAUGAAUCUCUGUUUGGAUCCGUGGCUGAUGAUCAGAAGCUUAUGAUUUGGGACACAAGAUCUAAUACUACGUCCAAGCCAAGUCAUUCUGUAGAUGCUCAUACAGCCGAGGUCAACUGUCUGUCCUUCAACCCUUACAGUGAGUUCAUUCUAGCAACUGGUUCUGCUGACAAGACGGUGGCUCUAUGGGACCUUCGAAAUUUAAAAUUGAAACUCCAUUCUUUUGAGUCUCAUAAAGAUGAAAUUUUUCAGGUUCACUGGUCUCCUCAUAACGAAACAAUUCUUGCUUCGAGUGGUACUGAUCGUCGGCUUAAUGUAUGGGAUCUGAGUAAAAUUGGAGAAGAGCAGUCUGCAGAGGAUGCAGAAGAUGGGCCUCCUGAACUGCUGUUUAUUCAUGGAGGACACACUGCCAAAAUUUCAGACUUCAGCUGGAAUCCUAAUGAGCCUUGGGUAAUCUGUUCUGUAUCGGAGGACAACAUAAUGCAGAUAUGGCAAAUGGCAGAAAACAUUUACAAUGAUGAAGAACCAGAUAUAGCAGCAGCUGAACUGGAGGGUCAAGGAACAUAACUUUUCUUCCUUAAGGAAAUACCGGGAAGGUGCUCACCUGUAUGUCACCAAGAGGACCAGCUUCCUUCCAGCAUGCCCCCUCUGGUCAUCGUCUACAGCAGAUUAUCCCUGUGCUGGUGCUGUGAGGUAAUGGCAACGAAGCCGUGGAGCACAGUUAUUUCUGCAGGUUGGUACAUGCUGGGGAGAGGAAAAAACAGCCAAUUUUCUAUCCACUGACCUUGCUGUUCAAGGGAACUGGGUACAGAAUUGUGAGACGUACCUUUUUUGUAUUAGCUGUUUGCAGAAGUGCAAGGCAGAACAAAAACUACAUAAGACCUGUGUUUCCAGAAGUUGAAUGAUAAAAUCUUCAGCCAUGCCAUCUUGUCAGACUGCUUGAGCGCUUCAGAAGAGCGGUCAGUAGCUGGCGAGCAGCACUCUUGCACACUUCCAGCACUGCGGUGUAGUGGUGGUUUAUUACUAAUAAAGCCAAAGCACAUUACUGGUGUGCAUCAAAUUUUCUCUCUCACCGUUUUCUUCUCUAAGAAUUUCAAACCCAAACCUUCCCCCAGUCCAGGCAUGCCCACACAUGCGUUACAAAUGGUGCUUGAGAGUUGUGUAACUACCCUUCCCCUUUAAAAGGCAAGGAUUCUCUGCUUUAAACAUCAAGCCUGCAUAAAAACCACAGCCUGGAGAAAAGAGGUAGAAGAGUCA